AGCAACAGACCAGAUGGAUCUAAAUUGAACACCCUUUUCUCGGCACUUAAUUUCCUUCACACCGAGCACCAAAGUCGUUUGGCGGCCUUCUGGGAAUACUUCCCCAGCAACGCCUGGAGUUGUCACCAUUUGACCGCCGUAAACCGUGUAGAGCCUCAUGGGGCUCAGCUCCCCACGCAGCACCAAGGAGCACGAUCAGAAACUACCGUUUACCCUGGGAAAGCGUCCCGUAAGUGGCACCGACCAGUCUUCCCCAGUACCACCAGGCCCCAAGCAGCGCUGACGGCCGUGCUCAGCAGAAGAUCAGGGGAGAUGGAGGCCGACCCAAGGCAGCCCCUCAGAAUCCAGUGCCCCACCGUCCCCAGUUGGGACGUCCACCCUCUGCUGUCGCUCGUUCGCGGUGCCACCUGGCCGUCUCCAGGGCAAAGGCAGAGGAACAGGAGAUUCCCAGAAAUUCCCUUGGUCUCAGGGGAGGCAGGCCCGAGUCUUAUUCCGGAGGUGGGCAUAUAAGCCAGUUCUGGCUACGGAACAUCGAGAAAGGUUUACUUCCUGAUAAGAGGAAGGAACUGCUUAAAGAGGGGCACAAGAUCCUUUGGAUAACAACAAGGCUGAAGCUACAUGAGGCACUUUCUUUUAAAAAUAUAUAUAUUUUUGGGGGCAGCCCCGGGGGUGUAGUGGUUUAGCGCCGCCUGCAGCCCAGGGCAUGAUCCUGGAGACCCGGGAUCGAGUCCCACGUCAGGCUCCCUGCGUGGAGCCUGCUUCUCCCUCUGCCUAUGUCUCUGCCUCUCUUUCUCUCCCUCUCUCUCUGCAUCUCUA
rnacentral:lncRNA from 1 species